GUAAAAAUAGGGGAUGAAUGGUCAUAUGGAAAUUCGUCAUUUUUAAAGCUGUAACAGUGAAAUUUUGUAUUUAGACACUUAAUGAGGAGCGAAAGAACAUAGGCUACUUUUUAAUAAAAAGGGUAGAAGGCGUAGAAUGUUUGAUAGAGGAGAUUAAUGUUUGCUUGAAAAUUCGUCAUUUUCGUUAAUACGUUGCCUGUGGCUUCACUCGCGUUCGAUUCUUAUUUAAAUACACAUAUACUUAUUUAAAUCGCCAAUAUCCCUACUACCAUACUAAUGUUAUGAAUGCGAAAGUAACCCUGUUUGUGUUGAGGUUACGCUUGCACGAAUGUUUUUUUUUUUUUUGGAAUAUAACAACGAAACAAUGUAUUUUUUUAUUGAUAGGCAAUAUAUAGGAAAUUAAAGGAUAAUAAUAUAGAUAACCUUGGCUACUUUUCAUCAUGAUUAUAAAAUGAUGAAUCGGCGGUCGUGGUUUCUAUGGAAUACAUAUCUUUAAAAAUGCUAACAGUAACAUAUUCUCAAGUAAUUCACAUUUUAGAUGACAUACGGCAGCAUUUUGACCACUAACACCACUACGCGGACGAAGUCGCGGGCAAAAGCUAGAUUUGAUAAAUUUUCAUUUGUACAUGUCAAAUAUUUGUUGUUUCUAAAUUCAAAUUCUGUAAAUAAUGAUUGACAUUUAUGCAUAAACUAUGAAAAGGGUGAAUAAACAAUUGUCUGUAUUUUUUUUAAUCUAUUGAAAAUGUUGAAAAGUGCAUUAAGCAUUAAUAGAAAUUCCUCAAAUAUUAAUUAUGCGUGCGUUCAGAAAUAAUGACAAAUUAUCAACAGUUACGCGUGUGUUCAGAAAUUUAUUUUGUGUAAAUUAAAAUUUCUAUUCACGUUUUCGAACAAACGAUGCUCUUUCAAUAUAGUCUAUUGGUGUGAAUGACAUUGACAUUCGUAUUGCGCGUUUUUUAAAAUAUGCAAAAUUAAAUGUAUAUUUUUCAAUAUUUCUGAGAGAUUAUCUUAAUAUUUUUUCGAGUUUUAAAGACUAAGAAGAUUUUUAUUUGCUAAUAAGUGUUUGUUAAUCAAGGUAAGUUCACAUCUUCAUAUUGAUUUUUAGUAACUUUUGGUGACUACACAAUACUACAAUUUGGUAUACACAGUUAUGCAGAAAAUGUAUCAGUGCUUUUUAUUUUCAGUUGGAAUUUCGUUUUUAACAAUGCUACCAACCAGACGUACAAGCUUAGGCCGUAGAACUCGAAAUACGGCAAGUCAAAGAAAUAUAAGAGCAAAUCAAACUGAUGAGCAUCGCGAAGCGCGAAAUGAACUUGAACUGAAUCGAUAUCAAGAUAGAAAUGUUGUGUUUAAUCCCCACAAAGCUGCAUUCAGUUAUAAUGUGGCAAUUGAUUACAGUUCAGAGCAAAUUGUUGCUAUUGGACUAAUGAACAUUGUGUGUCCACAUUGGGAUUGAAAUUAAAAAAUGAAGCCUCUGGAUUGUGUUGCGCCAGCGGCCAAGUCAAAUUGACGCCAUUGGUACCGCCACCAGAGCCACUACAUUCAUUGGUUCAUUUUUUGACUCAUAUCCAGCAGUACAAUAAUUGCUUUCAAAUGACAUCAUUUGGGGCAACAAAAGUUAUACGAGACAAUUUUUUGCCUACUUUUAGCAAAUUCAGGGAUUCAAAUAUAUCAUCAAACAGGUUCCUUAUUGCCAGUGCCUGUUGAAGACUAUACAUUUUUGCAAAUAUAUUUUAUGGACAAUUCAGCAAGAGAAGUCGAUCAGCGUUGCGCACACAACAACUCAGUAAAGAGAUCCAUUGUGAUGAACAACUUCAAACAUUUUUCCUUCAACACAAUGAAUUAGUUGCAUUAGACCGAUGCAUUAGACAUUCACAAAUGCAUUAGACCGCAUGCCAUCAGAUAAUCACAAAAUUGUCAUCAGAGCCGAUAAGGCGCCUGCAGGACAGUGAAAUGAUUGAAUCCUAUGAAAUAAACACUAUUAUGAAAAUA